GUCUUUUUGAGUUAUUUUUAAAGUCUGACCUGCCCACUGAAUUUUUAAAUGGCCGCAGUAUUCUAACUGUGCAAAGGUAGCAUAAUCAUUAGUCUUUUAAUUGAAGGCUGGUAUGAACGGUUGGACGAAGUAUAAGCUGUUUCAUAUAAAUUUAUAGUAGAAUUUUAUAUUUUAGUCAAAAAGCUAAAAUGUAGUUAAAAGACGAGAAGACCCUAUAAAUCUUUAUAUUUUAUGUAAUUUAAGUUUUUUGGAUUUAUUUUAUUUUUAUUAUAUUAAAUAUUUUGUUGGGGUGAUGUUAAAAUUUGAUUAACUUUUAAUUUUUUUAAAUCAUUAAUUUAUGAGUUAUUGAUCCAUUAGUAGUGAUUAUAAGAUUAAGUUACUUUAGGGAUAACAGCGUAAUUUUUUUGGAGAGUUCUUAUCGAUAAAAAAGUUUGCGACCUCGAUGUUGGAUUAAGAUAUAUUUUUAGGUGUAGCUGCUUAAAUAUUAAGUCUGUUCGACUUUUAAAUUCUU
rnacentral:rRNA from 1 species